GGGGGCGACUGGUUUCGACAUAUUGGUUUUAAGAAGGGAAGCAGGCCGUGGUCUCCUCGCCACGUUAAACAGGGGUACCGUCAAAUUUAAUUGACAACAAGCAGUAUGCUCUCGCUGCCUGAUAGUGCAGCGACGUCGACUUGAUGUGGUUCCCCGCCAUCAACGAGACGCGACUCAGGGGAAUGCUCCGCGUCCCACUGUUGACUAAGAUGCGGAUAAGAUAAGCCAACUGGAACCGGGGCCGCCUGUCUGCGAGCCACCCCAUGUUCGAGAUUCGAUUGCAGACUGAGCCUGGAGAUGCCUUUUAAGAAGCCCGUAUGGACCGGAGUUCGAUUCUCCGCGCCUCCACCA
rnacentral:tmRNA from 1 species